rnacentral:lncRNA from 1 species
AAAUGCACUUCACAGACCUGUCUUUCCAGUAUCCUCCACAGAUCUAGCUUUUAGAGCCCCUUGCUCAGUCCCUCCAGGGUAGAGCAAUAUCAGGAACUGACUUUGCUCUCCCCACUGUUGUCAGUGUAUACAGCUUAUUUGUGGCUUUAAAUGAACUCUGAUCUUGUGCAAGUCAAAUCCUUUAGACAGCAAGUGAAAAAACCCUAAAGGACCAUGUGUGAACCUUAGCGUCCGUGGUUCUUGAUAAGUUAGCAUCUUUUGUUACUGAUGCUUGACAUUUUUGAAACUGUUAAAGGGAAAAAAAUUAUGAAGAAUUGAGUUUACUUUUCUUAGGUAACAGUUUAAAAUAACUUUAAAUUAAAAGCUCCCUAAAGGGAAUAAAUUACAGAGAAGACAAAUCAGGAGGAAACCUUGCAGGAUGCUGGAACAGUUACUUUGAAAAUCUAUCUAAAAUUUAAUUCAUGCAUGUCUUUACUUAAUCCUGGUGUUUCUAUCCUUAGGAAAUAGAGCUUAACAUUAAUAUAUGCAUAUAUUUUUUUACAUGUAGGAUUCUAGUUUCUAUCUUCUGAGCUCAAGAAAGCUAAACUCAACAAACAGGGUAAAAAUCUUCAACUCUCGCCUCAAAUUCAAUGGUCCUUUGUCCUGACAAAAGUUAGACUUGUCUAAUAAGCUGGUAUUUUUAGGGCAUGAUACCCUCCCAUUAAGUACUUAAACUACCACGGCAGAGAUAGGAAACCUAAGCUUUGCCCCAUGGUGAAGUAAAGAACAAAAGCCCCCUUGCCCCAGAUCUCUAGCAUGACUUGUAAAGUCUUCCUCGGCUCACAGCUUCACUGUUACUGGUCACCUCCUAACUGCUCUGUCCACCUGUACUGUCACACACCUGGAGAGGCAGGGCAGCCCUGCAAGUAAAGGACGCCCAGAGUGGAGCCCCUGGGCAGGCAGCACUCACUCCUGUGGCUCUAGUGAUUGUCCAUCUGUAUGUGGAAAGUCAGGAAGCUGAAGUGCCCAAGAGAAAUCAUGAAUCGCUGAUGACACUGUAACAGAAAUGCCCUUUGAAGCAGCUAUAACUCAUGCAAUGAGUUUUAAAAACAGAGACUGGUUUUAAUCUUUGAAAACAAUGUCUGGUUCGUCAGAAUGUUUGUUGCUGUUCUUCCCCACCCAUUAUUUGUAUGACAUAACCACUGUGACAGGGUGCAGUGUCUCUUCGCCCCCCCAGGAUUUUCCUAGUAGUUUCUGUUAGGACAGCUGCCACGGCAGAUCCUCCUAAGACAGCAGCAGAGCGGUGGACGUGUGCCUGCAGAGCGGUGGAAAGGGUGAUCGGUGGGCAGCUCAUCUAAUGCCAGCACAUUUGACUCUUGUCCUUGACUCGGGCUGAAUAACGAGGUUGAAAUAUGGAUUUGGGAGAGCAACAGGCUAUGGAAUGAUGACGAAGACUGUCAUUUCAAACAAAGCAAAAGAAACAGGUUUUCUACCCCCACCUUGCUAUGACACAUGGAGCUGUGUGCUAGCUGAAAUGGGCUGUCAGAAGUGACUGUGGGGACUGAGCACCUCUACUAACAUUUCUUGUCUGUCCUAGCAUCCUUUCUACUUCUAACGAGUCAUUCUUUUGCUUUAAAUGAAGUGAAGAAUGAUGAGUAACAGAGGGACGACAUAGCAGUAGGAAAAAGACCUAAAGUGCACCAACCCCUUGCAGGGCUCAGCUGAUUUCUGUGAAAUAAACUAUUUUAAAUGUUAAUUAUGCUAAGAGCACCUCUAAAAAUUAUGUCUUAAAUUUCAAGUUUCACUUUUGGAAACUACUCCUGAAAAGACAUUGAAUAUAGGUGGGAAAGUAUAAAAUGUUUCUGACACAAUGACUCAGUAUUAUUCAGUGUUUAAUCUCAAAUUCGUUAUAACACAAGUGUCAUCAGUGGGUUAAAACGUUGGAUGUUUUUGUUAAUAUACUUAAAACUGUAACCAGUGAAUAACACCGUAGUAUUUUUUAUUAUAGAUUAUAUUUUAUUUCAAUAAACUUUGAUAUUUAGACUGAAAA